GUUUGAUUCUGGCUCAGGACGAACGCUGGCGGCGUGCUUAACACAUGCAAGUCGAACGGUAAGGCCUUUCGGGGUACACGAGUGGCGAACGGGUGAGUAACACGUGGGUGAUCUGCCCUGCACUUUGGGAUAAGCCUGGGAAACUGGGUCUAAUACCGAAUAGGACCAUGGACUUCACGGUUUGUGGUGGAAAGCUUUUGCGGUGUGGGAUGGGCCCGCGGCCUAUCAGCUUGUUGGUGGGGUAAUGGCCUACCAAGGCGACGACGGGUAGCCGGCCUGAGAGGGUGACCGGCCACACUGGGACUGAGAUACGGCCCCAGACUCCUACGGGAGGCAGCAGUGGGGAAUAUUGCACAAUGGGCGCAAGCCUGAUGCAGCGACGCCCGCGUGAGGGAUGACGGCC
rnacentral:rRNA from 1 species